rnacentral:rRNA from 1 species
GACGAACGCUGGCGGCGUGCCUAAUACAUGCAAGUCGAGCGGACGGAUGGGAGCUUGCUCCCAGCCCGUCAGCGGCGGACGGGUGAGUAACACGUGGGCAACCUGCCUGUAAGACUGGGAUAACUCCGGGAAACCGGGGCUAAUACCGGAUAACUCUUUCCCUCACCUGAGGGAAAGCUGAAAGAUGGCAUCUCGCUAUCACUUACAGCUGGGCCCGCGGCGCAUUAGCUAGUUGGUGAGGUAACGGCUCACCAAGGCGACGAUGCGUAGCCGACCUGAGAGGGUGAUCGGCCACACUGGGACUGAGACACGGCCCAGACUCCUACGGGAGGCAGCAGUAGGGAAUCUUCCGCAAUGGACGAAAGUCUGACGGAGCAACGCCGCGUGAGUGAUGAAGGUUUUCGGAUCGUAAAACUCUGUUGUCAGGGAAGAACAAGUACCGGAGUAACUGCCGGUACCUUGACGGUACCUGACCAGAAAGCCACGGCUAACUACGUG